AGGAUUUUUAUUGAGGCAAGCUGCUGCAACGAUGCAUGGCUGAAAGAAAAUCCUUACAGAGCUGGAGAUUAUUGUCCUAGCACCAACCUGCCAGCUCCUCACCCUCUUUGCUACAGCAACAACUACCUGCCAGGUUCAUCUGCCAUUCAGUUACAUCUCUUUAAAGAUCAGUUUCUCAGCAAAUUUAUUAUCUGUCGAACCUCUGAUCUCUUUGCUUGAACAAAUACAAUAUUUUACUAAUAAAGAAGUGAGUUACAAAGUGA